AUGAACGCUGGCGGCGUGCUUAACACAUGCAAGUCGAACGAAGCACUGAAGAAUGGAGAUUCGUCAAAGUUCUUCUUUGACUGAGUGGCGAACGGGUGAGUAAUGCGUGAGCAACCUGCCCUUCAGAGGGGGACAACAGUUGGAAACGACUGCUAAUACCGCAUGACGUGUUCGGGAGGCAUCUCUUGGAUACCAAAGGAGAAAUCCGCUGAAGGAUGGGCUCACGUCUGAUUAGCUAGUUGGCGGGGCAACGGCCCACCAAGGCGACGAUCAGUAGCCGGACUGAGAGGAUGAACGGCCACAUUGGGACUGAGACACGGCCCAGACUCCUACGGGAGGCAGCAGUGGGGAAUCUUCCGCAAUGGGCGCAAGCCUGACGGAGCAACGCCGCGUGAGUGAGGAAGUUCUUCGGAACGUAAAGCUCUGUUGUUCCUGACGAACCUCCCUUCUAUCAACAACGGAGGGGACUGACGGUAGGGAACGAGGAAGCCACGGCUAACUACGUGCCAGCCGCCGC
rnacentral:rRNA from 1 species